UACGGGGGGGGCAAGCGUUGUUCGGAAUUACUGGGCGUAAAGGGCUCGUAGGCGGCCAACUAAGUCAGACGUGAAAUCCCUCGGCUUAACCGGGGAACUGCGUCUGAUACUGGAUGGCUUGAGAUUGGGAGAGGGAUGCGGAAUUCCAGGUGUAGCGGUGAAAUGCGUAGAUAUCCGGAGGAACACCAGUGGCGAAGGCGACACGCUGGGCCGUACCUGACACUGAUACGCGACAGCAUGGGGAGCGAACGGG
rnacentral:rRNA from 1 species